UUUAAAAUUUUUGACAGUUGUAUUACUGGUUUUAUUUUACAAAAAGAUAGAAAAUAAUAUAAUACUAUGUAAUAAUAUACUAAUACAAUAGUAUAUAUUUAUUCAGUUUAAAUGUUAUAAUAAUUCUAUUGAUCUUAUUUUUUUGUAAAAGUAAUAAAUUACCCAUAAACUAAAAUAAGUAAAAUGAUUGUUACUAUAUUAUAAUGAUUGUAGUUCUUGAAAGGUCUAACCGCUAUUAGUCUGUAUGCAAUAAGCCUGAAAAACAGUAACAUGAACGUCUGAAACAUGAACACGUUUUAUUAUUGCGUUUUUUUAUUGACAGUCGUAGGGACGUUGAACUCGUACAUUCGGAAUCCUACAGACUAUCUUUGGUCCUGGAGUGGUCCGAGAAUUAAAUAGUCGCUUCCUUUUAUCAUCGCCCAGUCCUAUGUGGCCAAUCCAAAACGGAUUUUGUGUUGUUAUGGAUAUGACAAAGAUACACCUAUGAAAUAAUUUUACGAACAUAAUAAUUUUUAAAAUAUUAAAGUUUUAUUCCAGAAAUCUUAAUUGUAGGUGUAGGUACGCUACGUUGAAAAUA